ACAUCUGGUGAAGCCUUGCCAGUCUCUAAGUUGGGAAUUUCUGACUGUAGGAAAAGGUGUCUAGGGGAUGUGUUUUACUUUCUUCUUUCCCUUCACCCAAACUAUGGAGAUGUUUGAUAAGCUCUGGUAUUAAAAGAGGUAAAAAUGUCAAAGGAAAAAGGGAGAUGACUCAUCUAAACUAAGCCAGAAAAGGAAACGGAAGAGCACUCAGCGAGAGAAGAUUAUGAUAACAUAUGCCAGUAACAAGCUGUCCCGUGCUUCUGGAAUGUGUUUUGACACUGGAGUUAUUACUUUAAUAACCAAAGCCCAAAGCAAAUCAUACUGAAGAUGCAUCUGAAAGGCCAGG